CUACUUCAAUAAGCGGAGGAAAAGAAACCAACAGGGAUUGCCUCAGUAACGGCGAGUGAAGCGGCAACAGCUCAAAUUUGAAAUCUGGCCCUUUCAGGGUCCGAGUUGUAAUUUGUAGAGGAUGUUUCGGGUGUGGCUCCGGUCUAAGUUCCUUGGAACAGGACGUCAUAGAGGGUGAGAAUCCCGUAUGUGACUGGUAGCCUAUGCCCAUGUGAAACUCCUUCGACGAGUCGAGUUGUUUGGGAAUGCAGCUCAAAAUGGGUGGUAAAUUUCAUCUAAAGCUAAAUAUUGGCCAGAGACCGAUAGCGCACAAGUAGAGUGAUCGAAAGAUGAAAAGCACUUUGGAAAGAGAGUUAAACAGUACGUGAAAUUGUUGAAAGGGAAGCGCUUGCAACCAGACUUGCAUGUAGCUGAUCAACCGGUGUUCUCACCGGUGCACUCAGUUGCGUUCAGGCCAGCAUCGGUUUCGACGGUUGGAUAAAGGCCUUGGGAAUGUAGCUCCUCUCGGGGAGUGUUAUAGCCCAGGGUGCAAUGCAGCCUGUUGGGACCGAGGACCGCGCUUCGGCUAGGAUGCUGGCGUAAUGGUUGUAAGCGACCCGUCUUGAAACACGGACCAAGGAGUCUAACAUCUAUGCGAGUGUUUGGGUGUCAAACCCAUACGCGUAAUGAAAGUGAACGGAGGUGAGAACCCUUAAGGGUGCAUCAUCGACCGAUCCUGAUGUCUUCGGAUGGAUUUGAGUAAGAGCAUAGCUGUUGGGACCCGAAAGAUGGUGAACUAUGCCUGAAUAGGGUGAAGCCAGAGGAAACUCUGGUGGAGGCUCGCAGCGGUUCUGACGUGCAAAUCGAUCGUCAAAUUUGGGUAUAGGGGCGAAAGACUAAUCGAACCAUCUAGUAGCUGGUUCCUGCGAUU
rnacentral:rRNA from 1 species